GGCAUGCGUCACUGCCCGCCCGCGCGCAGGCGCAGUAGCUUCCGCAGUAACCGGGACUGCCCAUUUUCGAUGCAGGGGAGCGUUUGCUCCCAAGCCAGUUCAGGCUACCCUAAUUGACCACCUUUCCCGUGGGCCCCCGCCCUCCGAUGGCUGUGGGGGAAGCCUCGCGAGAUCGCCUUCGGCAGUCCCCGGCGGCGCCAUCUUUGUGCCUGGCGAGCGACGGCGCCCGACGGGAGCCCUGAAGCCGGCGGUUCGCUUGCCAAGCACUCGCCGAGACCGGAUCUAGGAAAUACGAGGCGGGCCUCGGUGGGAGGGACGCACUGAGGGAGGAGGGAGGAAAGGGGGCGGCGGCGGCGGCGGCAGCGGCGGCGGCUCUCACCAGAUCCGGGCCCCGCGCGGCGCGCACCCGAGGGGGGUCGGGCGGGGAAGCGGCGCCGGCCCGGACCCCCCGUGGGAGCAGGCGGUGGCAGCGGCGGACGGGGAGCAGCGGCUGCCGGGACAGCGUCUUCAGCCUUUUCUUCAAGAUUUUCACCGUGACUUGUUGCAUGUCAAACUGGACAAGGUAUCUUAGUUGAAGUUUCACCAAUUGAAAAAUUAGAGGACUUAAUCCCACUCUAUUAGAACUAUCAGUGUGUCUCUC
rnacentral:lncRNA from 1 species